rnacentral:rRNA from 1 species
GUAAUGCUUAGGAAUCUGCCUAUUAGUGGGGGACAACAUCUCGAAAGGGAUGCUAAUACCGCAUACGUCCUACGGGAGAAAGCAGGGGACCUUCGGGCCUUGCGCUAAUAGAUGAGCCUAAGUCGGAUUAGCUAGUUGGUGGGGUAAAGGCCUACCAAGGCGACGAUCUGUAGCGGGUCUGAGAGGAUGAUCCGCCACACUGGGACUGAGACACGGUCCAGACUCCUACGGGAGGCAGCAGUGGGGAAUAUUGGACAAUGGGGGGAACCCUGAUCCAGCCAUGCCGCGUGUGUGAAGAAGGCCUUUUGGUUGUAAAGCACUUUAAGCGAGGAGGAGGCUACCGAGAUUAAUACUCUUGGAUAGUGGACGUUACUCGCAGAAUAAGCACCGGCUAACUCUGUGCCAGCAGCCGCGGUAAUACAGAGGGUGCAAGCGUUAAUCGGAUUUACUGGGCGUAAAGCGCGCGUAGGUGGCCAAUUAAGUCAAAUGUGAAAUCCCCGAGCUUAACUUGGGAAUUGCAUUCGAUACUGGUUGGCUAGAGUAUGGGAGAGGAUGGUAGAAUUCCAGGUGUAGCGGUGAAAUGCGUAGAGAUCUGGAGGAAUACCGAUGGCGAAGGCAGCCAUCUGGCCUAAUACUGACACUGAGGUG